UUCGCCAAGUUCACUUCGAAACAGUUUCUCGUUGCAAAAUGCCGUCAUUAUGUGUGGCUACACUUGCAAAGACAAAACAAGCACAUUCGAAGAGAAGCUCCCGCCUCCUGCCUCGAAGCGGAGCUCCCGCCUCAGCCAGGACCUGACCCGCUUCUCUGGAGCGGCGCCACCUGAGGCAACCGGAGCAAUUCGCCCUAAGGCAGCUCAAAACUGCUGGCUGCACUCGCUGAGACAGAAAAAAAAAAAAAUAUAUAUAUAUAUAUAUAAAAGAGAAUCCAGAAAGGGAUAAAAGCCUCUGCUUCAGCAAAGACCAGUGAAGCCAGAGCCACGCAGAAAAAAGGGCCGGACUGCCUGAGAGCACUGAUUUAAAAAGUGCCCUCCACAGCACCCUGCCUCCCCUGAGCUUCCUGCCCUCAGGGUCUUGAGGAGACAACAACAAAUUUUGGGCACAGAUACAUGUGGAAUAACAUUUUGGGCUAACCCAGGAUAAAACUACAGCAAACACACAGGAUUCCUUGGAGGGUUGAAGAGGAAACAGAGCAGCCAGAUUUUACAUGGUGAUGUGGUGUAGUCCUGCUUAUGCUCUCCUGUCUUUCUGGGUAUUGCCACACACGAGUGAUUCCCAAACUCAGAGAGAAUGAAGCAUCUCUGCUGCACCACACCUGCCCUGCAUGGAUCUCAAUUCCCAGCUGCUCUUGGUGCCAGGACACGAGUCUGGACAGGCUGGAAGUGAAGGGGUUAACACUAAUGCCUUUGUCAGUCAGGUCAAUUCUUUAAUAGUCACUUUAGGCUCCAUAAAUUCAAAUUCUCCUUUGUGCUGGGCCAAGGGGAAAAGAUAUGGUGAUGCAUCUUUAAGCAGUGAGGAUGAGAUCACCUGCUUUUUAUAGAAACUGAAAUCAUCCAAAAGCUGCACAGCAGCAGGCUGAGCACGUUUCUCAAGCUGCAUAAAAACAGCACUAUCUGGGAAUUUCUUUCUAAAUAAAAAAGGGAGCACAUACCCAGCCAGCUCUUAUCUUGAAAUAUGAUUCUUAGACACUGCUUUUAUUUCUUGGCAAGAAUUGAGGGGUUUGACUGGUUUUAUGUUAUUACUUCUCCAGUCAUUUAACUCCAUCUUUACAACUGGGAAGGUGAAAACCAGAUCCUUCAUUUUCCACUGGGUAUGAUGAGAAAUAUCAUAGCACUUUGAAUCUCAUCUGGACAGAACAAUCUGAUGCAGU